rnacentral:misc_RNA from 1 species
GAUUUCUGGCGAAGUUAAAUUCUUCGCUGAUUCUUGUUUCUGAAUUUACCUAUUUGUGAUUUACCUGGUUUUGUUAAUGCGUGGAAGGGAAAGAAGUUUAUGAGCUGACAUUAGUGUGAUCUAAGAGCUUUUGAUUUGUUGAUUUUUUUGGAUUUUCCAAGUUUUAUAUUAGUUUCUAGCUGAUAAUCUUUUGUAAUUCUGCAAAUUACAAGUAAAUAGAAUGCAAUUCUCUCUCUCUCU